UGAUCCCUUUAAAAUGUUGAUUAAUUCAAUUUUUUGGUUUAAAUAUCUCGUCGAAACAAUUCACUUGCUGAGAUGUUUCAUCUCACUCUUGCAUUACUCAAUGCAGGUACUUGAUUCAUGUUGGGAAUGAGGGGAGUAGCAGCACGUCCACCUUCACUCUCAUAAUAACGCUGCCCAGGCACAACCAUGAUUUAAUUAGAAACUUCUUGUCAAAAGAUGUUUGUUUUUAGCUAGUCGUGCACACUAGUUAAUUCAGUUCAUGUCGUUAUGGUUAUCUUCCCAUUGCUAGCAGAUUAUUAAUGUCUAGUAUGUUUUCUUAUCAUGAUAUCUGUUUAUACUCUGUUGCUUCCACGUUUAU
rnacentral:lncRNA from 7 species